GAGGAAUAUUGGUCAAUGGGCGAGAGCCUGAACCAGCCAAGUAGCGUGCAGGAUGACGGCCCUAUGGGUUGUAAACUGCUUUUGUAUGGGGAUAAAGUCAAUCACGUGUGAUUGUUUGCAGGUACCAUACGAAUAAGGACCGGCUAAUUCCGUGCCAGCAGCCGCGGUAAUACGGAAGGUCCGGGCGUUAUCCGGAUUUAUUGGGUUUAAAGGGAGUGUAGGCUGGAGAUUAAGUGUGUUGUGAAAUGUAGACGCUCAACGUCUGACUUGCAGCGCAUACUGGUUUCCUUGAGUACGCACAACGUUGGCGGAAUUCGUCGUGUAGCGGUGAAAUGCUUAGAUAUGACGAAGAACUCCGAUUGCGAAGGCAGCUGACGGGAGCGCAACUGACGCUGAAGCUCGAAGGUGCGGGUAUCGAACAGGAUUAGAUACCCUGGUAGUCCGCACAGUAAACGAUGGAUGCCCGCUGUUGGUACCUGGUAUCAGCGGCUAAGCGAAAGCAUUAAGCAUCCCACCUGGGGAGUACGCCGGCAACGGUG
rnacentral:rRNA from 1 species